GGCCCCGUGGCGAAAUGGCAGACGCAGCGGACUUAAAAUCCGCGGCCUGAAUAAGGCGUGUGGGUUCGAGUCCCACCGGGGCCA
rnacentral:tRNA from 1 species